rnacentral:lncRNA from 1 species
UUUCGCGUUCUUUAUAUCCACGCGUAGGUGAGAUUAUGCUCUACAACUUUCCUUUAGACUCCGUCGGCUAGUUUUUGACUUUAUUUUUAAUGAUAUAUUUUUAAUAGGCCGGGCCUCCUAAAGUUCGUUAAAAAUUCAUAGGUUCUUUAUUCGACGUCGGUUUUCGUUUGUCUUUUUAUUGUUUUAUUACUACUGAGGAGAUCUUCAACUUUCGUUUAGGUUGCGUUAGCUAAAUAACACUCGAUCUUCAAUCCGAGUUUUUAGCCCUCUACUACUGUUACGAAACUUUGAAAAUUCGUAACUUCUUCAUACGAGGUCCAAUUUGGGCGAUCUUUUUAUGUACGUUCACCUUUCAACGAGAUCUACGACUUUUGUUUAGAUACUUAAGGCUUUAAAAUGCAUUUUAUUGAGAUUCUACUUUUUAUGUCAAAUAUUGUUUUAACGUCGCGUCGUAAAUAUACGAGUGGUUAUAAUUUCUUCAAUAUAACCCGGUUUUGAGCGUUCUUUAUGUUUUUGGAAACCUUGGCAUGAUAUCUAAUAUUCGAUGCAUCCCAACUUAGAUACUUGAACACUUUAUUUUCGAGGUUAAUUUCGUUGUUUUUAGCUUUCGAGUGUUUACAAUGCUUUUUGGGAA